CUGGAACGCGCUUCGGCGCACCCAGAAACCCUUUGUGAACUUAUACCUAUUUGUUGCCUCGGCGUAGGCCGGCCUCUUCACUGAGGCCCCCUGGAAACAGGGAGCAGCCCGCCGGCGGCCAACUAAACUCUUGUUUCUAUAGUGAAUCUCUGAGUAAAAACAUAAAUGAAUCAAAACUUUCAACAACGGAUCUCUUGGUUCUGGCAUCGAUGAAGAACGCAGCGAAAUGCGAUAAGUAAUGUGAAUUGCAGAAUUCAGUGAAUCAUCGAAUCUUUGAACGCACAUUGCGCCCUCUGGUAUUCCGGAGGGCAUGCCUGUUCGAGCGUCAUUUCAACCCUCAAGCCUGGCUUGGUGAUGGGGCACUGCCUUCUAACGAGGGCAGGCCCUGAAAUCUAGUGGCGAGCUCGCUAGGACCCCGAGCGUAGUAGUUAUAUCUCGUUCUGGAAGGCCCUGGCGGUGCCCUGCCGUUAAACCCCCAACUUCUGAAAAUUUGACCUCGGAUCAGGUAGGA
rnacentral:rRNA from 1 species